ACCUCCCUCCAAUAUUUCUUCGGUCUACCUCUACCCCACCUAAAACCAUCCAUAGCCAGUGUCUUACACCUCCACACUGGAGCAUCAGAGCCCCUCCUCAUCACUUGCUCGAACCAAUGUAACCUCAUUUUUUGUAUUUUAUCCUCCAUAGAGGCAACUCCACCUCCUCCCUAAUAAUCUCAUUCCUUAUCCUAUCUUUCCUGGUAUGUCCACACAUCCAUUACAAUAUUCUCAUCUCCGC
rnacentral:lncRNA from 1 species